AACCCGCCUAUAAAAGGGGCACUAUGCGCUACGCUCGCCCCUCCCUCCUGAACGCCGACCGCUGACGUUGCACGCUGGCGGAGCCAAGCUGUCAUGGCCGCAAGACGCGAGGCCCCGAGUGGACCACGUUUAGGCGCACUAAGUUUACUGUUGCAAGGUGUUCAGCGCAGUAAUUGCGGAGAGUGUGCGGGCAUCGUGGGGCUUUUGUGUCUCGGCGCUGGGCGGUCCUCUGCGUGUUUGGGUGGCGUGCCGCGGUGAAUUCUACACGGCUCCUGCUGGCGGGAAGCCUCCCCUUUUCUUUCUAUUUUCUUUCUCCGUGUACCUGGUCUGUUCUGUGGUCGUGGCCCUUGGUGAAAGGACUCGCUCUCUGAAGUCUUCGUCUUGGGGGAAGAGCUACUGCGAGGCGCAAUAUUGACUGUGAUAAUGGUCCUAAGGUAACUCCAAGCAACGAGGCCAUGCGACCCAAUGAACGCACAGGACUGGUGGAGGAUAUUUGUUAUUAACCCUUUGCAAAAAUGGAUAAUAAAUUCAAUGUAAAGUAUA